ensembl:lincRNA
CACGGUGUCCCCAUUUGUCCUCGAGGUUCAUGGCAGGAAGCAAAUCAGACACCUGGCCCAGUCGCCUCUCUGAUAAGGAGUGGGAGAGAAUGCCAGCCAUGCAUUUCGCGACUCUCCCUCUGCUCGUUCCCAGAAGCACACAUUGAAGCUUCCUUUCCAGGGAAAGAAAAAGGCCACAUUUCUGGGAAAAAACACAGUCACUUGAAAAAUAACCAAGCACUCGCUGCACAUAAAACAUCUGCUGCGUGCAGACCACUUGGUGCAGCCACGACGCGGAGGAGAGUGAAGACGGGCAAUUCCGGGGCGGUCGUGUCAUCUUUCUGGAUCCAACCAACUUAUACGAGCUUCUUGGAUGCGAAUGAAAAUCUCGUGAAUUGUCCAGCAAGUUGACAUUCCUUUCUAGAUCCAGCACAUACAACUCUCUCCAGGUGAGCACAAAGAAAGAAGAGAUUUGAAGUCAGCAAGGUGCGUUUUAUUGGUUCAAGAGGGGAGGUUAUUUUUUAAAGGCUUAUGGAAAAAGGUAGCUAUGUUUGUUCUUUCAAAUAAUCACAUAAAGACCCUGCUAACAUUUCUGGUACAACAACCCUGCCGUGGUUAAUUUCCAGACAAUGAAAGGUGAGAAGGCUGGAAAGGAAACCGAAUCCUGCAGUGUCUAAUCAAUUUUAAUCGAAUCUGCUAAUUGAAUCAUCCACAUCCUUUAAAAAGGGACAUGGAAAUCAUGGAAGCAAGCCUCUGUUUUGGUGCAUUCUUCAUCCCUCAUGGCAUGUCAAAAAAAUUGAAUUUCUCACAGUGGAGAAAGAGUCUGUCAAAGUUAACUUUACCUGGAGCUAAUAAAUUAUUAUAUUUCAUCCAAAGGGUUUCCAAUAAGUAGUUAUUCAAAGACUCAAUUUUUCAAUUAAUGUCUCCAAAUGCUUUUCUG